rnacentral:lncRNA from 1 species
CAACUCUCCUCCGAAUCUUCUCCCCGGGGCGGCUCCCUUUGCAAACAAGCACGCGUGACACACCGCUGGCUGCAGCGCCUGGGGCAGAGAAGCUGGAGGACACCCCCUGGAGGGGGCAGAGCACCUCUGUCAGGAAAAGCGCAGCGUGGGUGGGGGGCUCCUCAACUUCGCCCGCUCUCCAUCUCCGAGCCGAGAUCGGCUGCCUCUUCCAAGAGGCGACUGAGCGUGCAGCCCGGGCUGCCCUGCAGUCCCCGCCGCGACUCAGGUGGGCGAGUGCACCCACCCACGGGUAAGUCAGAGCGGUCAGGGCAGCACGAUGCCCUCCACCACGGCCCCGCGAGCACUCCACUUAUGUUCUUUAAUUUGUACCAUUCCUUCAAAUAAAGAAAUUUGGUACCCCCCCCCCCAAAAAAAAAAAAUAAAAAAAUAAAAGGAUCUACUGCAGAAGAAGAAAGAAUAAUAUCUAA